rnacentral:lncRNA from 1 species
UUAAACACAUGUCACUGAUUGGUCCAUGUAGAAGAGAUUUUAAAAAUUGAAAAUGACAUGAAAAUGGAAGUAAGUGAUUUUGAUUGCACGGGUUUCAAUUUGCGAUUUCAAUAAUUAGAAAUAUCAUUCUCGCUAGAGAACCCUAGAGAGAGCAUAUUCCUAGCCACAAGUGUCGUUUGAGGAGAAUCGGCCAUUGGCCAACUUUUCACCGUUCAUUGGAUUCUUGCGGUUAACCGGAGCCUUAUCCGUCGCCGUCUGCCGUUCUGAAGCACCAACAAAGGGCGAAACCACCAUUGGAUGUGGUUUUUAAAGCUUCUCGUUGUUUCUUUCGGUAAUCCUUUGAUUUUGCUUAAUGGGUUUGAGUUGUUUUAAUUUUUUUUUUCUAUUUAGGGGUUGUUGUGUUUAUUGUGGUAACUGUGGUUUGAACUUUUGUUGAUCAUUUUGGGGUUGUUGUGCUUUUUGGGUGCAAAGUUUCAACAUUUUAGAUUUGUGGUUGUUGUUGGGUUAUUUUAAUCUUUUGUACAAUGUUUCAUUUGACAGAUAUAGAUUUCAUUAACAACAAGGUCAACAUGUGCUAUAUUGAAAAUUUAUUAGUUUGUUUUGAUAUCAUGAUCUAGCUUUUAGGUAGCUUUGUUUGUUCACUUGGCUUAUUAUUUAUUUUUUUCUCUUAACUCUACCAAUAAAUCAAGUUUGAAACUCAAGUCCUAUCGAAUUUAUCAAUGUUUUGAUUUUACGUUAUCCCUCAUACUUAGACUACUGCAAUCACUUUUUUGAGGUGGGAGUUUUAUAUGCAAAUAUGAAUAUCCAACCUUCAAAAAUAGAUGUAAUUUGAUUAACUCGGGUGUGAUUAUUGUUUCAGGUUUUUCUUUGGUACUGUUUCUGAUUAUCAAGAAGUGAGUUGAAUUGGUUUUCUCAUUCUUUUUUAUUGUCACAAAAGCUUUGUGUUUUUACAUUUUCUUUUUAUAUUUCAGACUCCAAAUUGGAAGAUUGAAUUUCUGGGCUGAUAUUUUGUUGAGCAAAGUUUGUUGGAUGAUGAUUGUAUAAGAUUCUUACUCUCUGUUGUAGCAGCUUCUGCUUUAUUUCUAGCUAGAUUUUUUAUUGAUCCUAAAGUGCAUCCUUGGGUAAGUAUAUGUAAUGGAUGGUGAAAGAAUUUUAAUUUAAAAAGAAUAAUCUAAAUGCUCUUCAAGUACUCAAU